rnacentral:rRNA from 1 species
UACGUAGGGUGCAAGCGUUGUUCGGAAUUACUGGGCGUAAAGCGCGCGUAGGCGGGCUUGAAAGUUGAUUGUGAAAGCCCUGGGCUUAACCCGGGAAUGGCAGUCAAAACUUCAAGUCUUGAGUGCCUGAGAGGAUGGCGGAAUUCCCGGUGUAGUAGUGAAAUACGUAGAGUAUCGGGAAGAACACCUGAGGCGAAGGCGGCUAUCUGGCGGUGCGACUGACGCUGAGGCGCGAAAGCGUGGGGAGCAACAGG